CUUCGUUACUCAGGAGAAAAAAAGAGGGAGAAAGAGAGAGAAAAUCAAGUCGCAGCCGGCUUGGCCCGGUGUUGGGGGCGGUCGCGCGGAACGGUGAGGCUGUGAGAACUUCCCCAGCUGCUGACUGAAGUGGGAAGUGAGGUGUGAACUGAGACCCCGGGAGAGAGGCCCUCCGGGUAGGACCUGGCCUCGGACUGGCGGCGUAAAGGGUGGCCUUGCCACCGACUGAGAGUGGUUGAGCUGGCCUCUGGCCGAGUGUGGGGAGAGAGGCUUCACUUCUUUGUACACAUGUGCAGAGGCUAUGAAGUCCAGGAUUAAGGUGCUGGCCAAUUCAGUUUCUGGUGAAGACUCUUCUGGAGUUGCAGACUUCUGAGUUUAUCUUCAAAUGGCCUUUCCCCAGUGGGCGUAUGUGGGGAGAGGGGAGAGCCAUCCUGCCUGAAACUCAGGAAACACAAGGUCCCUGGUUGUGUAAUAUGAGUACACUUGAAAGUUCCUCGUCCUUAUCUGGCAACCCAGAUGGAUAAAUACUGGCCCUGAAGAUGCUUUUCUUAAAACUGAGCACAAGUGGCUGCAGAACAGAGCUUGGGAAGAACCAGUUAUUCUUCUGCCAGUUCAAAACUGGGGGCCCCUUCCCUCUAGCAUUCAUCCUCUGCUUGCCGGGGCAUAUCAAUUUCACCCAAAUCACGUGGACUAAGGUGGUGAUGGUGGGCUGUGGUAGGUAUGAUUUCCCCAAAGAAAAUUCAGAUGAAGUCACCAGAGGGAAGAAGGAAGAAUGGAUGUUUAUGCAAAAGACGCAGAUGUCCACAACAAUUCCCACAUGGGAAGAGAAUAAUCCAGGUUUAAGAGCCCUGGCUUGGGACCCCAGUGUCUGGGGAUGGAGUCCCAGCUCUACCAUUUACAAAUUGUGUGACCAUGGCUGGAUCAUGUCACCAGUCAGUAUGGGUCUGUGUCCCCAUUAACAAAUGGGAGUGAUGGUCCAGCAUUGUGGGCCUGAAUCAGAGUGACAGCACAUUGCAAAGGCACCAUGUAAGCUCCAGCAGGUGUGUCACAGCUACUUGUGGUGUCAUGAAAUCUGAAGUCUCUGAUCCAGUGAAUCAACUUCUGAAUAUUUAAUCAAAGGAAAUUAAAACACUAACUCAGGAGUUCCCAUCAUGGCACAGUGGUUAACGGAUCCGACUAGGAACCAUAAGGUUGCGAGUUCAAUCCCUGGCCUUGCUCAGUGGGUCGAGGAUCCAGCAUUGCCGUGAGCUGUGGUGUAAGUUGCAGACACGGCUGGGAUCCUGCGUUGCUGUGGCUCUGGCGUAGGCCGGUGGCUAUAGCUCCAAUUAGACCCCUAGCCUGGGAAUCUCCAUAUGCCGCUGGAGCGGCCCUAGAAAAAGGCAAAAAGACAAAACAAACAAACAAACAAACAAAAAAACACUAACUCAAAAAGGUAUCUGUACCCCCAUGUUCAUUGCAGCAUUAUUUACAAUAGCCAGGAUAUGCAAACAACCUAAGUGUCUAUUGAUGGAUGAAUCAAUAAAGAAAUGUGGUGUGUAUAUGUAAUGGAAUAUACUUCAGCCAUAGGAAAGAAUAAAAUUCUGCCAUUUUGCAACAACAUGGAUGAACCUUGAGGGCAUUAUGCUAAAUGAAAUGUCAGACAGAGAAAGACAAAUACCAUAUGAUCUUACUCAUAUAUGAAAUUAAAAAGAAAAACUAAGGUCAUAAAUACAAAAAGUAGAUUGGUGGUUGCCAAAGAUGGGGGGAUAGGAGAAUGGGCGAAAUGACUGAAGGGGGUCAAAAGGUAUAGACUUUCAGUUAUAAGAUAAAUAAGUCCUGGGAUAUAAUGUACAGCAUGGUGACUGUAGUUAACACUGUAUUGCACAUUUUAAUGUUUCUAAGAGAGUGGAUCUUAAAAAUUCAUCACAAGAGAAAAAAUUUAUAACUAUGUAUGGUAACAGAUAUUAACUACACUUAUUAUGGAGACCAUUUUUCAGUGUAUACAAAUAUUGAAUCAUGUUGUAUGCCUGAAAUUAUUAUAAUGUUAUAUGUCAAUUAUACCUAAAUAAAAAACAAAAUGAA
rnacentral:lncRNA from 1 species